CCUACGGGUGGCAGCAGUCGAGAAUCAUUCACAAUGGGGGAAACCCUGAUGGUGCGACGCCGCGUGGGGGAAUGAAGGUCUUCGGAUUGUAAACCCCUGUCAUGUGGGAGCAAAUUAAAAAGAUAGUACCACAAGAGGAAGAGACGGCUAAGUCUGUGCCAGCAGCCGCGGUAAUACAGCAGUCUCAAGCGUUGUUCGGAAUCACUGGGCGUAAAGCGUGCGUUGGCUGUUUCGGAAGUCGUGUGUGAAAGGCGCGGGCUCAACCCGCGGACGGCACAGAAUACUGCGAGACUAGAGUAAUGGAGGGGGAACCGGAAUACUCGGAGUAGCAGUGA
rnacentral:rRNA from 1 species